rnacentral:rRNA from 1 species
AGAAUCAACGCUGGCGGCGUGCCUAACACAUGCAAGUCGAACGAGAAAGUGGAGCAAUCCAUGAGUACAGUGGCGACCGGGUGAGUAACACGUGACCAAUCUACCUUCGAGUGGGGGAUAACUCCGGGAAACCGGGCUAAUACCGCAUAACAUCUUUGGAAUGCAAAUUCCGUUGAUCAAAGGAGCAAUUCGCUUGAAGAGGAGGUCGCGGCUGAUUAGCUAGUUGGCGGGUAAUGGCCCACCAAGGCGAAGAUCGGUA